UUGGAGUGCACGUCCAAGCAGUAAGGCUGAGUGUUAGGCAAAUCCGGCACUCAUAAGGCUGAGCUGUGAUGGGGAGAGGAAAUUGUUUCCUCGAGUCGUUGAUUUCACACUGCCGAGAAAAGCCUCUAGAUAGAUAACAGGUGCCCGUACCGCAAACCGACACAGGUAGUCAAGAUGAGAAUUCUAAGGUGAGCGAGCGAACUCUCGUUAAGGAACUCGGCAAAAUGACCCCGUAACUUCGGGAGAAGGGGUGCUCUUUAGGGUUCACGCCCAGAAGAGCCGCAGUGAAUAGGCCCAAGCGACUGUUUAUCAAAAACACAGGUCUCUGCUAAACCGUAAGGUGAUGUAUAGGGGCUGACGCCUGCCCGGUGCUGGAAGGUUAAGAGGAGUGGUUAGCUUCUGCGAAGCUACGAAUCGAAGCCCCAGUAAACGGCGGCCGUAACUAUAACGGUCCUAAGGUAGCGAAAUUCCUUGUCGGGUAAGUUCCGACCCGCACGAAAGGCGUAACGAUUUGGGCACUGUCUCAACGAGAGACUCGGUGAAAUCAUAGUACCUGUGAAGAUGCAGGUUACCCGCGACAGGACGGAAAGACCCCGUGGAGCUUUACUGUAGCCUGAUAUUGAAAUUCGGCACAGCUUGUACAGGAUAGGUAGGAGCCUUUGAAACGUGAGCGCUAGCUUACGUGGAGGCGUUGGUGGGAUACUACCCUAGCUGUGUUGGCUUUCUAACCCGCACCACUUAUCGUGGUGGGAGACAGUGUCAGGCGGGCAGUUUGACUGGGGCGGUCGCCUCCUAAAAGGUAACGGAGGCGCUCAAAGGUUCCCUCAGAAUGGUUGGAAAUCAUUCAUAGAGUGUAAAGGCAUAAGGGAGCUUGACUGCGAGACCUACAAGUCGAGCAGGGUCGAAAGACGGACUUAGUGAUCCGGUGGUUCCGCAUGGAAGGGCCAUCGCUCAACGGAUAAAAGCUACCCCGGGGAUAACAGGCUUAUCUCCCCCAAGAGUUCACAUCGACGGGGAGGUUUGGCACCUCGAUGUCGGCUCAUCGCAUCCUGGGGCUGUAGUCGGUCCCAAGGGUUGGGCUGUUCGCCCAUUAAAGCGGUACGCGAGCUGGGUUCAGAACGUCGUGAGACAGUUCGGUCCCUAUCCGUCGUGGGCGUAGGAAAUUUGAGAGGAGCUGUCCUUAGUACGAGAGGACCGGGAUGGACAUACCUCUGGUGUACCAGUUGUCGUGCCAACGGCAUAGCUGGGUAGCUAUGUAUGGACGGGAUAAGUGCUGAAAGCAUCUAAGCAUGAAGCCCCCCUCAAGAUGAGAUUUCCCAACUUCGGUUAUAAGAUCCCUCGAAGAUGACGAGGUUAAUAGGUUCGAGGUGGAAGCGUGGUGACACGUGGAGCUGACGAAUACUAAUCGAU
rnacentral:rRNA from 1 species